GAAUGAUAAUUGAAUGUUAAUCUGAUUAAAUGUUACUUUGACUGCAGUAUUACGAAAAACUCAUGAACGCAGCAUAGCUCUGAAGGAUUUUGAGGUUGAUGAUGAAGUGUUUGACCUCUUACAAGAUACUGGUUUUGAGAACUUGCCUAAACUUGGCAUAAAUCUUAACCAUAAUUAUGCUUUGAUCGGUGCUUUAGUUUCAAAGUAUGAUAGUAAAAACCAAGUAUUUGUUUUUUGUGAGAAAAAAGAAGUGCGUCUAUAUUUUGGUUUGAUAGACGUUUUGCACAUUCUUGGUCUGCCAAUUGGUGGCUCUUAUCCAUAGAUAUGGAGAAAUUCCCGGGGCACGUUGUAGCUCAACAGCUAUUUGAGAACCCUAGAAUUUUUAAAUUUAUGAAUUGAAGAUUAAAAAAACAAAUUAAGUCAUCUUAUACCUUAAGAAUUCUAGAGUUCACAAAUAACUGUUGAGCUACAUCAAUGGAUAAGGGCCACCAAUUAGCAGGCCAAGAAUGUGCAAAACGUCUAUCAAACCAAAAUAUAGACACUUUUUUUUCUCACCAAAAACAAAUACUUGGUUUUUAGUAUCGUACUUUGAAACUAAAGCACUGAUCAAAGCAGAAUUAUACUUAAGAUUUGUAUCAAGUUUAAGCAAGUUCUCAAAACCAGUAUCUUGCAAGAGGUCAAGCACUUCAUCAUCAACCUCAAAAUCCUUCAAAGCAAUGCUACGUUCAUAAGUUUUUUGCAAUGCUGCAAUCAAAAUAACAUUCAAUCAGAUUAAC
rnacentral:lncRNA from 1 species